rnacentral:rRNA from 1 species
GUCAUACUUCCAAGAAAAGCUUGCACUGUCAGAAACAGAUAAUGCCUGUACCAUAACCGACACAGGUGGGUAGGUAGAGUAUACUAAGGGGCGCGAGAUAACUCUCUCUAAGGAACUCGGCAAAAUGACUCCGUAACUUCGGGAGAAGGAGUGCCUUAUUUUUAAGGUUGCAAUAACAAGAUCCAAGCAACUGUUUACCAAAAACACAGGUCUCCGCUAAGUCGUAAGACGAUGUAUGGGGGCUGACGCCUGCCCAGUGCCAGAAGGUUAAAGAAGUCGGUUAGCAUUCGCGAAGCUGGUAACUGAAGCCCUGGUGAACGGCGGCCGUAACUAUAACGGUCCUAAGGUAGCGAAAUUCCUUGUCGGGUAAGUUCCGACCCGCACGAAAGGCGUAAUGAUUUGGAUACUGUCUCGGAGAGGGGCUCGGUGAAAUAGACUUGUCUGUGAAGAUGCGGACUACCUGCACCUGGACAGAAAGACCCUAUGAAGCUUUACUGUAACUUGAAAUUGAAAUUGGACUUUAUUUGCGCAGUAUAGGUGGGAGGCGUUGAAAAUAUUCUUGCGGGAAUAUUGGAGCCAUCAGUGAGAUACCACUCUUGUAAUGUUAGAUUUCUAACUUUAUAUCAUUAUCUGGUUAAAGAACAGUUUCAGGCGGGCAGUUUGACUGGGGCGGUCGCCUCCCAAAUGGUAACGGAGGCGCACAAAGGUUUCCUCUGAACGGGUAGAAAUCGUAUCUAGAGUGUAAAGGCAUAAGGAAGCUUGACUGUGAGACCUACAAGUCGAGCAGGGACGAAAGUCGGUCUUAGUGAUCUGACGGUGCUGAGUGGAAAGGCCGUCACUCAACGGAUAAAAGUUACUCUAGGAUAACAGGCUGAUCUCCCCCAAGAGUUCACAUCGACGGGGAGGUUUGGCACCUCGAUGUCGGCUCAUCGCAUCCUGGGGCGGUAGUACGUCCCAAGGGUUGGGCUGUUCGCCCAUGAAAGCGGUACGCGAGCUGGGUUCAGAACGUCGUGAGACAGUUCGGUCCAUAUCCGGUGUAGGCGUUAGAAUAUUGAGAGGAGCCUUCUUUAGUACGAGAGGACCGAGAAGGACAUACCUCUGGUGUACCAGUUAUCGUGCCAACGGUAAACGCUGGGUAGCUAUGUAUGGAGUGGAUAACCGCUGAAAGCAUCUAAGUGGGAAGCCCACCUCAAGAUAAGUAUUCUC